AACCAAAGAGAGAAAUUAUCUUUAAGAGAUGGCCAAGUUUCCAGCAUGCUCCGUAUUGUUCCUUGUUCUUCUUUUCUCAUUGGCAUUGAUGGUACCUCAACCAGCCUUUUCAAGAAAUUGUGUUGACAAGUUGUAUGAAGGAUGUAUAUCGAAAGAGUGCCAUCAGAAGUGCCUACAAAAGCAUCCUGGAUCAACAUCUCAGUGCGUGCCUACCCCUCCAGUUCCUUUUACCUACCUUUGCUAUUGCUUCUACCCUUGCACUACCAACUGAGUGCUUUUAAUCCUAUCAUAUGCUGAAUGUAAUAAAAUGGUUGGGUGACGUUUUCGUCAUUCAACACACAGUUUAAGUUAUUCUCUUUAUCCUACCUUCUUCU